rnacentral:tRNA from 2 species
AGCCCGAUAGUCUAGCGGUCAAGGAUUCUGCCCUCUGGAGGCGGGGACGGCAGUUCGAAUCUGCCUCGGGCUA